CGAUAGCGUAUAUUAAAGUUGUUGCAGUUAAAAAGCUCGUAGUUGGAUUUCUGGUGGGGGUCGCUGGUCCGCUGCGAAAGCGGCGUGUACCGAUGCGUACCUACCGCCAUCCUCGGGGGGACUGCGUGUGGGAUUAGUUUCUCGUGCGUAUGGACGCCCGUCUUUUACUGUGAAAAAAUUAGAGUGUUCAAAGCAGGCUGAGGCCGUUGAAUACAUUAGCAUGGAAUAAUAAGAUAGGACCUUGGCGGUCUAUUUUGUUGGUUUGCACGCCAAGGUAAUGAUUAAUAGGGAUAGUUGGGGGUAUUCGUAUUCAAUUGUCAGAGGUGAAAUUCUUAGAUUUAUGGAAGACGAACUACUGCGAAAGCAUUUACCAAGGAUGUUUUCAUUAA
rnacentral:rRNA from 1 species